rnacentral:rRNA from 1 species
AGUGAACGCUGGCGGUAGGCCUAACACAUGCAAGUCGAACGGCAGCACAGUAAGAGCUUGCUCUUACGGGUGGCGAGUGGCGGACGGGUGAGGAAUACAUCGGAAUCUACUUUUUCGUGGGGGAUAACGUAGGGAAACUUACGCUAAUACCGCAUACGACCUACGGGUGAAAGCAGGGGAUCUUCGGACCUUGCGCGAUUGAAUGAGCCGAUGUCGGAUUAGCUAGUUGGCGGGGUAAAGGCCCACCAAGGCGACGAUCCGUAGCUGGUCUGAGAGAAUGAUCAGCCACACUGGAACUGAGACACCGUCCAGACUCCUACGGGAGGCAGCAGUGGGGAAUAUUGGACAAUGGGCGCAAGCCUGAUCCAGCCAUACCGCGUGGGUGAAGAAGGCCUUCGGGUUGUAAAGCCCUUUUGUUGGGAAAGAAAAGCAGCAGGUUAAUACCCCGCUGUUCUGACGGUACCCAAAGAAUAAGCACCGGCUAACUUCGUG